GCGAACGGGUGCGUAACACGUGAACAAUCUACCUUCAAGUGGGGAAUAGCUCGGCGAAAGCCGAAUUAAUACCGCAUGUGGUUGGGGCUCGCAUGAGAGUCUUUACUAAAGUCAGGGACCGCAAGGCCUGACGCUUGAAGAGGAGUUCGCGGCCUAUCAGCUAGUUGGCGAGGUAACGGCUCACCAAGGCUAAGACGGGUAGCUGGUCUGAGAG
rnacentral:rRNA from 1 species